rnacentral:lncRNA from 1 species
UUUACUUUCUCUCUCUCUCACAAUAUACCACGCCUGAUCCUCAAAGAUUCAUUCAAAAUCACACUUCUGAAUCACCUAUUCAACGACCGAAUUUCUUUGUGUUCGAAGUGAUCAGCACACGGCGACAUCGAUAGUUACAGUAAGAUUUUAAUUGGGUGUUUAGGACUACGAUUCAGAGCAACAUGUAGCAUCACCAUAGAUCGAGAUGAUAACAGCAACACUUCAAAGAAGGGACGCAUCGGGCGCGGGGAAUGAUAUGGACGUCGAACACCUUUUUGUACAGUUGCCAAGUAGAAAAAACGCAGCUGUAGGUAGUAGUUAAGCAAGCCAUGUCCUCUAGGAAUAUGUCUUUUGUGCAACUUAUGUAACUAACAUAGCUUAGUGUUAGUAACCUAAGUUGCAACUAUAACAUAUGUACGAACCUGGACACAAGCUCUUGGUUGUACCUAAUCUAUCUAACCUAACGGAUGUAAAUCACAACUUGCUUAAUGUAAAUAUAAGUCUAGCCCCCCGCUGCAUCGCGACGGGUUACUCUUCUAGUU